rfam:Ophiophagus hannah scaffold5983.1, whole genome shotgun sequence.
UGGCCUGCUUCUGAUUGGAAGACUAGUGAUUUUGUUGUUGUGGUGUAGAAAAGCGACAACAAAUCACAGCCUACCAUCCAGCAGGGGCCC